rnacentral:rRNA from 1 species
UUUUUUAAUUGGGAACUGGAAUGAAGGGUAGAAACUAGGAAGAAAGUUUUAUUUAAUAAGUUUGAAUUUAAAUUAGAAGUAAAAAUGCUUUUAUAAAUCUUUGGGACGAGAAGACCCUAGAAGCUUAAAAAUUUGUGAAAUUUUUAAUUGGGGUAAUAUUUGAAGAAGAUACAUUUUUAUAAAGUAAUUAAAUAUUAUAUAGGGAAGUUACUCUAGGGAUAACAGCGUUAUUUAAUUAACAAGUUCUUAUUAAUAAUUAAGUUUGCGACCUCGAUGUUGAAUUAAAUUUUUUAUUUUUGGUGAAGGGGCUAAAUAAAUUUUAGUCUGUUCGACUAUUAAAAUUUUACGUGAUCUGAGUUCAGAC